CAACACGUUAGAAUCCUCCAUUUUGUCCCUCCUAUUGGCAAUGCACAAGUGUGGCUUGGAAUGAAGGGACUGUGUGGUUGCCAGGGUGACCCCAAGGACCAGUUAUUGCACAUAUGGUUCUGCAAAUGGAAGUUCCUGAGUCGGACCAAUGGCAGGAAAGAAGAUUUGCGAACUCGCCCAGGGCAAAGCUGGUGUAAAGUUUUAGAUAAAUGUUCAGAAUUAACCACCUCCUGUUACUCCUAAGUCUCCACAGAUACCAUGUUUUUAAGCCUCCUUUGGGACAAUCACUGGCUGGAAACACCAGAGCAAAAGAGAGGCAAAAUAUCGAUAGAUAUCAGAUGUAGGAUCAAGUUUAACCCCAUUCAAUAUCAGUAAUAUCAUUGUCUUCUUUGCAAUAUACUUCCUCAUGGACUGUACCAGCUACAACUGGGUAUCUUGGGUUUUCUAGGAGGAAGCACCAAUAAAUGAAAGAUUAGGCCCUUGGAGAACAUAAAAAAUGUGAUUCUCAACCCACCACACUUUUACGAAUGAGUCUACAAAAAGGUCACACCCUUCUAUGAAAGGCUUUUGAUUCACUUUCAGUAGGGAAAACGUAAGCAGAAAGGAUAAAGAGGAAAAAGUUGGCGUCAGGAAAACAGCUUUAUUUGCAGCAAAGUGAUCAGAGCUGCCGUACGAUUGCUUCAGGCUUCUACUCAGCACUCCUUGUCCACACUUGAGGGCUUGCUCUGAUCUCUUCCCAGAAUCGACUACCAGAUAAUUACCUGUCCCUGAGCGAUUGGGGCUGAGAACUAAGACUCCGAAUAUCAAUAAACACCUCUGUUAAUUAUUAAGCCUUUAAAGGUGUUUGAUUUCUUCCCCCACCGUGGCCCACCUGCACAGGAGUUCCUCUUUGAGGGCAACAAGCAUGGAGGCUGAGAGUUAAUGAUUAGACCCACAUUCUUGCACAAAAGGAAACCAAAUCAGAACCAGACUAACCAGAGGAGGCUGAAGAAAAUUAAUAGGUGGCAGAAAACCUUAUAAAAAGAAAACAAGGGAACUUUGCUGCAGAACAACAGCCCUUCGAAUGUCCGAGUGGGAAGAGACAGAGAGCAUCCUGUCCAACCCCUCCUGUAUUGAAAGCCGAAACAGAAAAUGACCGUCUGUUGGUUACAGAUCUGAGGAUAAGCCCCGCCAAGGACGCCGGAUGUGUGCUCACGGACUGUCUGGGCCCGCUGCAUCGAAGGCUUCCCCACCUGGGAUUCCCUCUCAGUAAUCUACAUGUUCUCAAGACAUGGGGAGGAGAAGAAAAGCAACCUUAUCAUUCAGGGAUUACGACCUUCCUUGGCUCCAACGAUUCAACUUUAAAUAUUUACUUGGCAGCUGAUUCAAAUUCAAAUAAACUUGCAGUUAUUGGGUGAAAUAAAGUGUGCCC
rnacentral:lncRNA from 1 species